AGUUUGACUGCCAAUCACUUCAAGGUUUCACUACUCGUGGUCUUAUUUUGGUUGCCAAUAUACAAGUUCUCGACUACAAAGCAGGAUCUCAACAACAUGCGAAGCCCCGGGGCUCUGGAGUUCAGCGCCGACCCCCCCCCGCGGUCACACGAGUUCCUCCCUCCCCCUCUGGAACAGCGCUCUGCGCAGCGAGAAACUUGUGAUACAUCAGGCAAUGCAACUCAAAGAGGAUCACGUUUUUACAUUUAUUUUCCACCAGAAACCUGAAAGUCACAAAUAAAAGCAGAAUCAUUAAUUUCCUGUUUACUCCAUUUAUUUUUCAGGUCCAUCGGUCCACUGGAGAGAAAUGACAGAGAAAUCGGCGAGUCAAGGAAAAGAGUUUUGCCCCACCCGCUAUACGACAGGUCUUCACACCUCAUCCUGGACCGGUGCAGCGUGGGUAGCUCUCUAAACACACACCGCACCGACUGGGGUGAUCUGGCGCUCCGUUACACACGAGGGCGGCACUGUGGUCCACGGGACCAGGGGUGAAGACCGGAUCUCGACAAACGCACAAAGCGGGUUCCGUUGCGUUUUCCUCGCGUGUGGGUGGGCAGCCGUGCUCCACGGGGCCACGUCGUCUGCCGCUCUCAGCUUUACUCCGGAGGAAAACCAGAGCUGAAGUGCAGAAAUAUUCUUUAGGGAGAAGAACGCACAGGACCACAUUAUUCUGGCUUUUCAGACACCUUGACAGAAGACCAGACAAAUCUUACAAGAGACGCAGCCGACAGCUAAAAAAGCUUGAGAACCUGAGAGACCAACUCAAAGGAAGGACCACCAAUUUUAGAGGAGAGCCUCCGAACCACCAGGGCCGGAGGACGUGAGGACUUUACAGGUUCAUUCUGCGCAUCACAAGUGGCCCCGGCUGUCAUUAUAGCAGCAAAACGGACCACAGGCAGCUCGUCCUUUGGCCGCUGUGAUCAAAUCACAGCGCAGAGAGAGAAGAGUCAGUAGAGGACGCGACCCUACAAGGACAAUCGAAUUUGGUGCUCCGUGUGAAGUGGAAUAAAACACCCCGAAUUCCACGGUAUGACUCACGUCGAGCAGCACGCAAAGGACAAACAGGUUAACAGCAACAGAAAUUAAAUAUUUGCAUUCUUCUGGAGAUCAGUUAGUUCCGGCCUCGGAGAACGAGCAACAUAUUACAUAGAAACAAGUCACAGAAUAUCAACUUUGUCUUCCAAUGGAAAAACAUUUUGAGAAACAUCUGAGCACAGCUACUGACACAGCACUAUCAGGGUGGAUUUCUGCAGUCAUGUUACUGCUUCUUUUACGACCAAGCGAUACAUACAUGUUGUACAAUUAUGCGGUUACAUCAAUAUAUUGCAAACGUAUGCAAGAAUCAACAUUCAGACAGCAAAAUGUAACGGUGACCAACCGGUCUUACAGUUAAGAUGAGUGUAAAUUGCCCAUUCAGCUUUUGAUCGCUUAGCUAAGGUUACUAGUGAUGUCAACUAUGACCCCUGGUCAUUGAGUGCUCACAACCACACACGCAUUCAGCGGACAAGAAAAGAAAAUAUCAGAUCGAAGAAUCUCCCUUUCAAUCCAUUUUUUUAAAAACCAUUUUCUCCCCCUUUCAUUACUCAAACCAUCAAGUUUCUUUGCCUCUGAAGACACAAAAUGAUGCAUUAUGUGGUUCUCGCAUUUUUACUGCUCUAGGAUGUUGUGUUUUCGCAUGAUGAAGAACACAAUGGAUUUUAGAGUUAUGAUGCAAUGAUUGGUAAAGUCGCAUCUUACAUAUACGUAAUCUACAUUAGGAGGCGACACCAUUUUAUCGAGAAAAGUAGAAUAUUAUAUUUCCAGGAGGGAACAAUGUCCUGGUGUCCUGCACACUAAGAGGGCUAGCGAUCCUACACUGGUCCUGAGGAGGCUCAUGACACCACCAGACACCCCCUUAGCAUCCCUCUGGCAGAAUGUGAAUAUUGCAAAAAAACCUGUAUUCUGUCUAUAGGUGUUUUUACUUCAAGAACUGUUUAUCUGGUGAAAUUACUGUACACUUUCUGGUAAGUGUACUAUUACAUUAACUAUUAUUCUUUUACAUAAAUUUAAUAUUCUUUUACAUGAAUUCAAGCUGAGACCUCUGAUGUCAUAUCAUAAGGUUUAUAAUGGUAAACCAGUUAUAUGUAGUUUAUGUCUCAUGCUGUCUGUCCCCCCAGUCUCCAUGUAAGCUGCGACUUCACUGACACAAACAGUAAUGUCAUUUAAAAUAAAAAUUUAAAAAAAAAAAAAA